rnacentral:rRNA from 1 species
UACAUGCAAGUCGAGCGCGCCCUUCGGGUGUAGCGGCGGACGGGUGAGUAACGCGUGGGUAUAUGCCCUUCUCUAAGGAAUAGCCUCGGGAAACUGAGAGUAAUACCUUAUACGCCCUUCGAGGGAAAGAUUUAUCGGAGAAGGAUUAGCCCGCGUUAGAUUAGGUAGUUGGUGGGGUAAUGGCCUACCAAGCCUACGAUCUAUAGCUGGUUUGAGAGGAUGAUCAGCCACACUGGGACUGAGACACGGCCCAGACUCCUACGGGAGGCAGCAGUAGGGAAUCUUAGACAAUGGGGGAAACCCUGAUCUAGCCAUGCCGCGUGUGUGAUGAAGGCCUUAGGGUCGUAAAGCACUUUCGCCAGAGAUGAUAAUGACAGUAUCUGGUAAAGAAACCCCGGCUAACUCCGUGCCAGCAGCCGCGGUAAUACGGAGGGGGUUAGCGUUGUUCGGAAUUACUGGGCGUAAAGCGUACGUAGGCGGAUUAGUAAGUUAGAGGUGAAAUCCCAGGGCUCAACCCUGGAACUGCCUUUAAUACUGCUAGUCUUGAAGUUCGAGAGAGGUAAGUGGAAUUCCGAGUGUAGAGGUGAAAUUCGUAGAUAUUCGGAGGAACACCAGUGGCGAAGGCGGCUUACUGGCUCGAUACUGACGCUGAGGUACGAAAGUGUGGGGAGCAAACAGGAUUAGAUACCCUGGUAGUCCACACCGUAAACGAUGAAUGCCAGACAUCAGCAAGUAUACUUGUUGGUGUCACACUAACGGAUUAAGCAUACCGCUGGG